rnacentral:lncRNA from 1 species
UAAAACAACAUUCUGGCAAUAAGAUCAGAGUUUGCCCUACAUGCUUACAAUGUUGUAGGUACCUAUUCAUUCAUUCAUACAGAAUCAUUUAUUGAGUUUCUUCUAUUUUCCAGUUUCUCUCUAGGUAUUGAGAGAUCGAUGCUAUACAAAUCCUGCCCUCAGAGUUCUGAUCAUCUGUUCAAAAUAAUUUUGCUUCUAAGACUCUACCUCUUUGAGAAAAGAUGGUUGCACAUACCGUUUUACGGAGUGCCUGCAGUAAUUCUGUGCCCUCUGAGGAAUCUGGUGCUUGCGGUUUGGGACUAUCGCCAUGCUAGAUUUCAUGUAUGUUUCAUGUACUGCACCUGACCUGACGCCUCAGUGUUGCCAACAGAAGACUGUGCAGCCGUUUGGUAGUGAGUCUGGGUCAUGAAUUGUUAAGCAGAUGCAAAAAUAAUAAUAGCUAGCCUUUAUCUCGUGCUUGUUACGUGCCAGAUAUUUGACGUACGUUGGCCCACUUAACCCCCACGACACCGUGAGAGCGGUAACUGUCACAUAGCUAGGAAGUUUGGGGAAAGUUGACAUUAGAUCACAGGCAACCUAGCCCACCUCUUCAUCACCGUACAAGACUGCCUCUCAGAAGCAUGGGUCGUCAGAUGCCGGGCGCCGGGGAAAAGACAAAGGCAUGUUAUAGUUCCAUUUAAGCCACUUCGAAUCCAUUUGGAAGGGAGGCAAUAUGUAAGAGUCCCGGAACCCCAGGUAGGGUCAGAGACACGUGCCAUCAGAAUUAGGAACUAAAGUUGAAGGCAGAAUGCAGGACAGCAUCUAGAAAUCUGUGAUUAAAGGGAUCCAAAAAGAUUGCUGAUUGUAGAAAAUCCAAAGAGAUGGUUAACAAUUGUUCAUUGUUGCUCUAACAUUUGAGCCUAUGCCUUCGAAAAUCAAGUGCCUUCAAAAAUAUGCCUAACUCUUCACACACUUUACUUAAUCCUCACAACGGCCCGAGGGGGCUGGUGAUAUUUUGGCCUAUUUUGCAGAUGACAAAACUGAGGCCAUAAUGAAAAACUAACUUAGGCAAGAUCAUGCAACUAUGUAAGUUGCACAACUGGAUUCAGCCUAAUUAAAAAAAAAUUUUUUUAAUGUUUAUUUAUUUGAGAGAGAGAGAGCAAGCGAGGGGCAGAGAGAGAAGGAGAGAGAGAAUCCCAAGCAGGCUCUGCGUAGUCAGUGUAGAGCCGGAUGCGGGGCUGGAACUCACGAACCGCGAGAUCAUGACCUGAGCCGAAAUCAAGAGUCGGAUGCUUAACUGACUGGACCACCCAGCGCUCCUUGCCUAAUGUUUUUAGACUUCAAAACCUACACAGUACCGUAGCAU